UCCCCUGUGGCACAAUUGGCUAGCGCGUUCGGCUGUUAACCGGAAGGUUGGUGGUUCGAGCCCACCCGGGGGAG
rnacentral:tRNA from 1 species